GAAGUCUUUCUAGAUAAAUUUGAGUAGAAAAUCGAUUUUUAUAAUUUAUCUGACAAGGAGAAUUCGGACAUAAGAAAUGAACUCUGCUCAGUUUAAUGAACUUACUUAAACAGUAAUAUUUCGUUUAGCAAAACAAACAAAUAAUAUUUCGCAACUCAUAAAACUGGUCUGAGGAUUUGCCUCAGCAGUCUAUGCAGCAGGCGGGAGUAACUGAGGGAUCGUGAAGCUAUUCUGCUAAACACUCGUAGCCACCUCAGCCAGUUCCGCUAUUAUACAGCUGACUGAGAUUUCUCAAGAUCAUCAGUUUGGACAGAAUUCAUUUGAAGAAUUAAUAGCACUAGCAGGUUCCAAUAAAGGCUGGAACAGAACAGACAGAAAAGAAUCUGUCAGAAGAAAUUCAACUACUGUUCGUGCACCAGAUGGUGAAGUAGAAAAGUUCGUAAAAACUUCUGCAGCUUGCAUCUGACAGAGAUGCAAAAAGAAUAAGAGAGCGGGCCUGAAAACAAGCAAAUUCAAGUCUUUCCUUCUUUUAGGGUACACUUGAGGAGUGUCCAGAUGUUUAUUAAUGUUUUAUUAAUGUAAUGUUAUGUUUCAAAUAAACAUGUAAACAUACUGUAUAUUUUUCUUUCUUUUUUAAACACCUACAGUAAAGUGUGACACUUAACACAUUAAAAGCAUCACAAACAUUGAGGAUAGAACUUCUAAU